ACUUGACUAGCUGAGAGGAGGUGCAUGGCCGUCGUCAGUUCGUACUGUGAAGCAUCCUGUUAAGUCAGGCAACGAGCGAGACCCACGCCAACAGUUGCCAGCUCGUCCUCCGGGAUGGUGGGGACACUGUUGGGACCGCCUCUGCUAAAGAGGAGGAAGGAAUGGGGCAACGGUAGGUCAGCAUGCCCCGAAUUAUCUGGGCUACACGCGGGCUACAAUGGGUGGGACAAUGGGUAUCGACACCGAAAGGUGAAGGCAAUCUCCUAAACCCAUCCGUAGUUCGGAUUGUGGGCUGCAACUCGCCCACAUGAAGCUGGAAUCUGUAGUAAUCGUGUCUCAAAAUGGCACGGUGAAUAUGUCCCUGCUCCUU
rnacentral:rRNA from 1 species